rnacentral:rRNA from 1 species
ACGCUGGCGGCGUGCCUAAUACAUGCAAGUAGAACGCUGAAGAGAGGAGCUUGCUCUUCUUGGAUGAGUUGCGAACGGGUGAGUAACGCGUAGGUAACCUGCCUUGUAGCGGGGGAUAACUAUUGGAAACGAUAGCUAAUACCGCAUAACAAUGGAUGACACAUGUCAUUUAUUUGAAAGGGGCAAUUGCUCCACUACAAGAUGGACCUGCGUUGUAUUAGCUAGUAGGUGAGGUAACGGCUCACCUAGGCGACGAUACAUAGCCGACCUGAGAGGGUGAUCGGCCACACUGGGACUGAGACACGGCCCAGACUCCUACGGGAGGCAGCAGUAGGGAAUCUUCGGCAAUGGGGGCAACCCUGACCGAGCAACGCCGCGUGAGUGAAGAAGGUUUUCGGAUCGUAAAGCUCUGUUGUAAGUCAAGAACGAGUGUGAGAGUGGAAAGUUCACACUGUGACGGUAGCUUACCAGAAAGGGACGGCUAACUACGUGCCAGCAGCCGCGGUAAUACGUAGGUCCCGAGCGUUGUCCGGAUUUAUUGGGCGUAAAGCGAGCGCAGGCGGUUUGAUAAGUCUGAAGUUAAAGGCUGUGGCUCAACCAUAGUUCGCUUUGGAAACUGUCAAACUUGAGUGCAGAAGGGGAGAGUGGAAUUCCAUGUGUAGCGGUGAAAUGCGUAGAUAUAUGGAGGAAUACCGGUGGCGAAAGCGGCUCUCUGGUCUGUAACUGACGCUGAGGCUCGAAAGCGUGGGGAGCGAACAGGAUUAGAUACCCUGGUAGUCCACGCCGUAAACGAUGAGUGCUAGGUGUUGGAUCCUUUCCGGGAUUCAGUGCCGCAGCUAACGCAUUAAGCACUCCGCCUGGGGAGUACGACCGCAAGGUUGAAACUCAAAGGAAUUGACGGGGGCCCGCACAAGCGGUGGAGCAU